rnacentral:rRNA from 1 species
CAGUCGCCGCGGUAAUACGGAGGGUGCAAGCGUUAAUCGAAAUUACUGGGCGUAAAGCGCACGCAGGCGGUCUGUCAAGUCAGAUGUGAAAUCCCCGGGCUUAACCUGGGAACUGCAUUUGAAACUGGCAGGCUAGAGUCUUGUAGAGGGGGGUAGAAUUCCAGGUGUAGCGGUGAAAUGCGUAGAGAUCUGGAGGAAUACCGGUGGCGAAGGCGGCCCCCUGGACAAAGACUGACGCUCAGGUGCGAAAGCGUGGGGAGCAAACAGGAUUAGAUACCCCAGUAGUCCCUGUCUUUAUACA